rnacentral:rRNA from 1 species
UACGUAGGGUGCAAGCGUUAAUCGGAAUUACUGGGCGUAAAGCGUGCGCAGGCGGUUGUGUAAGACAGAUGUGAAAUCCCCGGGCUCAACCUGGGAACUGCAUUUGUGACUGCACAGCUGGAGUGCGGCAGAGGGGGAUGGAAUUCCGCGUGUAGCAGUGAAAUGCGUAGAUAUGCGGAGGAACACCGAUGGCGAAGGCAAUCCCCUGGGCCACUACUGACGCUGAGAAGCGAAAGCGUGGGGAGCGAACAGG